GACGCUGAGACGCGAAAGCGUGGGUAGCAAACAGGAUUAGAUACCCUGGUAGUCCACGCCCUAAACGAUGUACACUAGUUGUUGUGAGGCUCGACCUUGCAGUAAUGCAGUUAACACAUUAAGUGUACCGCCUGGGGAGUACGGUCGCAAGAUUAAAACUCAAAGGAAUAGACGGGGACCCGCACAAGCGGUGGAGCAUGUGGUUUAAUUCGACGAUACACGAAGAACCUUACCUGGACUUGACAUAGUAAGAACUUUCUAGAGAUAGAUUGGUGUCUGCUUGCAGAAACUUAUAUACAGGUGCUGCACGGCUGUCGUCAGCUCGUGUCGUGAGAUGUUGGGUUAAGUCCCGCAACGAGCGCAACCCUCGUCAUUAGUUGCUAACAGUUCGGCUGAGAACUCUAAUGAGACUGCCUACGUAAGUAGGAGGAAGGUGAGGACGACGUCAAGUCAUCAUGGCCCUUACGUCCAGGGCUACACACGUGCUACAAUGGGGUAUACAAAGAGCAGCAAUACGGUGACGUGGAGCAAAUCUCAAAAAUAUCUCCCAGUUCGGAUUGUAGUCUGCAACUCGACUACAUGAAGUUGGAAUCGCUAGUAAUCGAGAUCAGCUAUGCUACGGGAAUACUCCCG
rnacentral:rRNA from 1 species